GACGAACGCUGGCGGCGUGCUUAACACAUGCCAGUCGAACGGAAAGGCCCGGCUUUUGUGGGGUGCUCGAGUGGCGAACGGGUGAGUAACACGUGAGUAACCUGCCCUUGACUUUGGGAUAACUUCAGGAAACUGGGGCUAAUACCGGAUAGGAGCUCCUGCUGCAUGGUGGGGGUUGGAAAGUUUCGGCGGUUGGGGAUGGACUCGCGGCUUAUCAGCUUGUUGGUGGGGUAGUGGCUUACCAAGGCUUUGACGGGUAGCCGGCCUGAGAGGGUGACCGGCCCCGCUGCGCCUGGGCUAAGGCCCAGACUCGUACCGGAGGCAGCAGUGGGGAAUAUUGCACAAUAGGCGGAAGCAUGAUGCAGCAAAGCAGCGUGCGGGAUGACGGCAUUCGGGUUGUAAACCAAUUUCGCCUGUGACGAAGCGUGAGUGACGGUAAUGGGUAAAGAAGCACCGGCUAACUACGUG
rnacentral:rRNA from 1 species